CGGAGGAUCCAAGCGUUAUCCGGAUUUAUUGGGUUUAAAGGGUGCGUAGGCGGCUUAUUAAGUCAGGGGUGAAAGACGGUGGCUCAACCAUCGCAGUGCCCUUGAUACUGAUGAGCUUGAAUGGACUAGAGGUAGGCGGAAUGUGACAAGUAGCGGUGAAAUGCAUAGAUAUGUCACAGAACACCGAUUGCGAAGGCAGCUUACUAUGGUUUAAUUGACGCUGAGGCACGAAAGCGUGGGGAUCAAACAGGAUUAGAUACCCUGGUAGUCCACGCCCUAAACGAUGAAUACUCGCUGUUAGCGAUACACAGUUAGCGGCUAAGCGAAAGCGUUAAGUAUUCCACCUGGGGAGUACGCCCGCAAGGGUG
rnacentral:rRNA from 1 species